UCAAUGCGCGUUCCUUGGAACUAGAUGGGCACAUAGCACAUACGGAUGUAUAUAAAACGUUCAUAAACGUUAGAAUGUAAACAGAAAUAGGAAAAGUAUUGAAGAGCAAGCACAGACACACACCGACUUGACUGCUAAUGAUUUUUCAUCAUUUUCGCCUUGAUUUGGAUGUACUUUAUAGCGCUAAUAAACGGAGAACUCCAGCAACGUUUUCAAAAUUUCAUGAAGUCAAAAGCCGCACGAAAAGCGAUCGCGUUCACGAUGGUGGUAACGGGAAGAAAAUGAUAUCGGCGUAACGACAUUAAAGGACACAUAACAACAUGACAGAUUAGAAAAUUGCGAGUUCCAUACCGGCAGCAGACAAGUUAAAAAAGUAUAUUGCAGAAUUUCACUGAAAAUAAAAUUAAACAAACGAUUCUAAAAGUAAAA